UACGUAGGGUGCGAGCGUUGUCCGGAAUUAUUGGGCGUAAAGAGCGUGUAGGCGGCCAGACAGGUCCGUUGUGAAAACUCGAGGCUCAACCUCGAGACGCCGAUGGAAACCGUCUGGCUAGAGUCCGGAAGAGGAGAGUGGAAUUCCUGGUGUAGCGGUGAAAUGCGCAGAUAUCAGGAAGAACACCCGUGGCUAAGGCGGCUCUCUAGUACGGUACUGACGCUGAGACGCGAAAGCGUGGGGAGCGAACAGGG
rnacentral:rRNA from 1 species